rnacentral:rRNA from 1 species
CUGGUUCUCUAGGGAGCAUGUGCCACCUUGUCAUCUUUAUAUCUCCACCUGUGCACCUUUUGUAGACCUUACAGGUCUAUGUUGCCUAUUCAUUUACACCAAUGUAUGUUAAUAGAAUGUUGUGACUAUAAAAUCUAUACAACUUUCAGCAACGGAUCUCUUGGCUCUCGCAUCGAUGAAGAACGCAGCGAAAUGCGAUAAGUAAUGUGAAUUGCAGAAUUCAGUGAAUCAUCGAAUCUUUGAACGCACCUUGCGCUCCUUGGUAUUCCGAGGAGCAUGCCUGUUUGAGUGUCAUUAAUAUAUAUAUCAACCCUCUUUUUUUGAGUGGUUUGGAUGUGAGGGUUUGCCGGAUUCUUAAAAGGGUUCAGCUCUCUUGAAAUGCAUUAGCAGAACAACCCUGCUCAUUGGUGUGAUAACUAUCUACACUAUUGAAUGCAAGGGCCAGUUCAGCUUUCUAACAGUCCUUGGACAAUCAUCAUUUAUGUG